AAACUGGCAUGUAUUUGUGCUUCUGAUGCAGAAAGUAGAAGUAGUGAGGCAAUGGAAUUCUUGGUUCCACCAGGAAAAAAAACGCCUCCUCCAUUAGGGGGUCAAGAGUCAGGAGAGGCUUCAGAUCAUGCAGUUCAGAGGUCUGAACAAUUGCUAUUCUACAGAGUAUCUACACUGAUGCAAUGCUGUUCAAUGAUGCUUACUAAUCCCUAUCCUGUUCAGGUGUAUAUAGUUAUAUUUGUUAAGUAUUCUGUUUCUAGUAAUAUUAUUAUACUCAUCAUGCUUGAGGUCUUGGAUGCAGUUAAGUUAAUUUUUUUUCCCUUAUCAAAGCUCAUUUCUGAUAGGUUUCUGUUCCUGUUCGCCC
rnacentral:lncRNA from 1 species